rnacentral:rRNA from 1 species
CCUACGGGAGGCAGCAGUGGGGAAUCUUGCACAAUGGAGGAAACUCUGAUGCAGCGAUGCCGCGUGAGUGAAGAAGGCCUUUGGGUUGUAAAGCUCUUUUGUAGGGGAAGAUAAUGACUGUACCCUAAGAAUAAGGUCCGGCUAACUUCGUGCCAGCAGCCGCGGUAAUACGAAGGGACCUAGCGUAGUUCGGAAUUACUGGGCGUAAAGCGCGCGUAGGCCGUUGAGUUAGUUAAUUGUGAAAUCCCAAAGCUUAACUUUGGAACUGCAAUUAAAACUGCUCGACUAGAGUUUGAUAGAGGAAAGCGGAAUACAUAGUGUAGAGGUGAAAUUCGUAGAUAUUAUGUAGAACACCAGUUGCGAAGGCGGCUUUCUGGAUCAACACUGACGCUGAGGCGCGAAAGUAUGGGUAACAAAGAGGAUUAGAUACCCUCGUAGUCCAUACCAUAAACGAUGAUUGCUAGAUGUUGGAAAUUUAUUUUCAGUAUCGCAGCUAACGCAUUAAGCAAUCCGCCUGGGGAGUACGACCGCAAGGUUAAAACUCAAAGGAAUUGACGG